rnacentral:rRNA from 1 species
GACGAACGCUGGCGGCGUGCUUAACACAUGCAAGUCGAACGGAAAGGCCCUGCUUUUGUGGGGUGCUCGAGUGGCGAACGGGUGAGUAACACGUGAGUAACCUGCCCUUGACUUUGGGAUAACUUCAGGAAACUGGGGCUAAUACCGGAUAGGAGCUCCUGCUGCAUGGUGUUGGUUGGAAAGUUUCGGCGGUUGGGGAUCGUCUCGCGGCUUAUCAGCUUGUUGGUGGGGUAGUGGCUUACCAAGGCUUUGACGGAUAGCCGGCCUGAGAGGGUGACCGGCCACAUUGGGACUGAGAUACGGCGCAGACGCCUACGGGAGGCAGUAGUGGGGAAUAUUGCACAAUGGGCGGAAGCGUGAUGCAGCAACGCCGCGUGCGGGAUGCCGGCCUUCGGGUUGUAAACCGAUUUCGCCUGUGACGAAGAGUGAGUGACGGUAAUGGGUAAAGAAGCACCGGCUAACUACGUG